rnacentral:rRNA from 1 species
GCAGUCGAGCGAAUCGACGGGAGCUUGCUCCCUGAGAUUAGCGGCGGACGGGUGAGUAACACGUGGGCAACCUGCCUAUAAGACUGGGAUAACUUCGGGAAACCGGAGCUAAUACCGGAUACGUUCUUUUCUCGCAUGAGAGAAGAUGGAAAGACGGUUUACGCUGUCACUUAUAGAUGGGCCCGCGGCGCAUUAGCUAGUUGGUGAGGUAAUGGCUCACCAAGGCGACGAUGCGUAGCCGACCUGAGAGGGUGAUCGGCCACACUGGGACUGAGACACGGCCCAGACUCCUACGGGAGGCAGCAGUAGGGAAUCUUCCGCAAUGGACGAAAGUCUGACGGAGCAACGCCGCGUGAACGAAGAAGGCCUUCGGGUCGUAAAGUUCUGUUGUUAGGGAAGAACAAGUACCAGAGUAACUGCUGGUACCUUGACGGUACCUAACCAGAAAGCCACGGCUAACUACGUGCCAGCAGCCGCGGUAAUACGUAGGUGGCAAGCGUUGUCCGGAAUUAUUGGGCGUAAAGCGCGCGCAGGUGGUUCCUUAAGUCUGAUGUGAAAGCCCACGGCUCAACCGUGGAGGGUCAUUGGAAACUGGGGAACUUGAGUGCAGAAGAGGAAAGUGGAAUUCCAAGUGUAGCGGUGAAAUGCGUAGAGAUUUGGAGGAACACCAGUGGCGAAGGCGACUUUCUGGUCUGUAACUGACACUGAGGCGCGAAAGCGUGGGGAGCAAA